UACGGAGGGUGCAAGCAUUGAUCGGAAUUACUGGGCGUAAAGGGCGCGUAGGCGGUCUUGAAAGUCGGAUGUGAAAUUCCGGGGCUCAACCCCGGAGCUGCAUUUGAAACUCCAAGACUAGAGUACAGAUAGAGAAAACGGAAUUCCACGUGUAGCGGUGAAAUGCGUAGAUAUGUGGAAGAACACCGGUGGUGAAGACGGUUUUCCGGUCUGAUACUGACGCUGAGGCGCGAAAGCUAGGGGAGCAAACAGG
rnacentral:rRNA from 1 species